UACGGAGGAUCCGAGCGUUAUCCGGAUUUAUUGGGUUUAAAGGGUGCGUAGGCGGCCUGUUAAGUCAGGGGUGAAAGACGGUAGCUCAACUAUCGCAGUGCCCUUGAUACUGAUGGGCUAGAGUGUACUAGAGGCAGGCGGAAUGUGACAAGUAGCGGUGAAAUGCAUAGAUAUGUCACAGAACACCAAUUGCGAAGGCAGCUUGCUAUGGUAUAAUUGACGCUGAGGCACGAAAGCGUGGGGAUCAAACAGG
rnacentral:rRNA from 1 species